CUUUAAACGUACGUUGCUCUCACACUUGUUUUAACUAAAUGUUUACCAUAUAUAUAUAAAUAUUGAAAUCAUUUCAACAACAUGCUCCUGUCCGGGAUAUAUUGAUUCAGCAAAGCUCUGCAUGACCUGCAUCUUCAAGGUCACAAAAAGUUUGUCUAUCCUGAACUGGUUCCCUGAUUUAUUUGGAUAACAGACGCUUUUUCUAUCGACACUGCGGCCUGCCACAGUCUUUCUUGACUCUUUUUUUUGUAGAUCAAACUUUAACAGAUUAAAGGUGUGCAAGUAUUGAACAUCAGCUUGAAAUGCAAUGUGACCUAAAAGACAACUUAAUAAUGGACAGAUGUUCUCUGGUCAUUUGUACUUGUUGGCCACACACAUGAAGAUAUUGAUCCUGCUUUCAGCUAAUAUCAGAAAAAUUAAGAACAAAGGAUGCUGAAACUGUGCAGUCACUGUUACGGAUUAUUCCAGAUGUUUCAAAAGUGAAAUUAUAAUACAAUAUAUGUUACUGGUUAAUUCCUAUGAUUAGUAAUUUUAAACAACACACAGAGACUUUGCAUUAUUGUUUUACAAGAGAGACACCAAAAGAUGCAGUCAACAUUUAUCAUUUUUAUCAAAAUACACCCAGGACAAACUAUGGGUACACUUAGCUUGAAAUAUGGUGCUUUCUUACCAAAAUUGUCUGGAUGUAAAAGAAAUGAAGAACCAAAAUUCAUGUCAACAAUCAGGAGAUACCAGAAGAACUAGUAUAAAUGGUUAAAGAUGAAAGAAUGCAGAAUAAGGCAGGAUUGAAAGGAAGAAAGAACUAGUCAUCAGUAAAGAAACAGAUCAAUUUAUAUAACAUGUAAUAAUUCCAUCUGAAUAUAACAAACAUUGCACAUGUUAUGAAGAUUUAUUCACAUGUCUACUCUGAUUUAUAGUUAUGUAUUUGUAAUAUUAUAUAGUACAUGUAUUUUAUUUUAGAACAAUAUUUUUUUUUUUUUUUGCUGUGGAGAACAUCAAAGAAAUUUAGAAAAAUACAAUUAAAGAUAGUUUCUUCCAUUUUUUCUGUGACAAAAAAAAAUUGUGCAAAUUAGGAAAAUGAAAUCAGGCUAUAUUAUUAAAUAUUUUUGAGUUUUGGUUUUUUUUUACAUCCUAUUUUAAAAUUUCAUUGGCAUUUGAAGUAAUGAGUUGAAACCAGUUUUUAUUAAAAUAUUUUGUUUUCAAGAUGUACAAACAGUACAGUAGGUUAAGUCUUUGGUGUACAUUAGUUUACUAUGAUGUUAAGGUCAAAUAAACUUGAAACUUUGUACAUUUUACAAGUGUUCAUUAUGAAGUCAUUUUUUAAAAAUAAUUACAAAUAACUGAACAUGGAAAUGUGAUUGUUGGAGCAGGGUAUAAUGUGUUAUGGAUACAAAUCUCAAUCCCAUAGAGCACCGUCCUCCUCACUGGCCUCUCAGUAUGGUAUAUUGACUUUGAAAAUUUCCUUAGUUUACACUGUAAGGUUUGUGAUAAGUUCAGUUUAAGGAGAACCACUAAUAGUAUGUCAGGGAUAUUUUAUAAAUAUCUAAAUUCUGUGUUGUAAAAUCUUAUAGAUUUUGUUUUUUCAGGAUUUUUCCCAAUAUGUUUAAGAAAUCUGUAGUAUAAUUUUUGCUUGUAGAUUUUAUUUUGGGAUUUUUCCCGAAAUUGGUAAAAAAAUCUAUGCAGCAAGUGUGUGCUUGAUAAUAGAUUUAUAUUUUCGGGAUUUUUCCCGAAAUGUGAAAAGAAAUUAUUAGUCAUGAGUUCUAGCAUAUACUUUGGGUUUUCAGGAUAAAUCCUGAAAUAUUUGAAGACAUCUGUGUUAUACAUUUUGCACUUAGUUUAUUUUUGUCGGGAUUUUUCCCGAAAUGUGUUUCAGAUCUAUUUGUCAAAACGCUUUGCCAACAUAUAUGUUAUAAAUAAUAAUGUUGAAAAUAAUUUCGGGACAUUUCCCGAAUAAAGUUGUCAAAUACAUCUUUACCACAAAUAUUUUAAAACUUUCAUAUAUUUUGGGAAAUUUCCCAAAAAUUAAAUGUAAGUUUUAUCAAUUAUAUGAAUAAAAUCAUGGAAUAUUGU